rnacentral:tRNA from 1 species
GGCCGCUUAGCCAAGUGGUAAGGCAUUGGCUUUAGGACUGAACGCUCCGCCGCCAAUAUGCGCGAGUUCGAUCCUCGCAGGGGUCA